rnacentral:lncRNA from 10 species
GUUUUUUGAGCUUAGAGCAGAGUUUCUCAAGAGCUGCAAUACUGGCAUUUGAGUCAAGUCGUUCUUUAUUGUUGGUGGUGGAGGGGGCACCCUGUAUAUUGUAGGACGUUGGGCAGCAUCUCUGACUUCUACCUACUAGAUGCCAGUAUCUCAGUUUUCUUAAAAGACUUUUUUUUUUUUUUUUUUUUUUUUGAGAUGGAGUCUUGCUGUGUUGCCUAGGCUGGAGUGCAGUGGCACCAUGUCGACUCACUGCAACCUCCGCCUCCCCGGUUCAAGCGAUUCUCCUGCCUCAGCCUCCUGAGUAGCUGGGAUUACAGGUGAGCACCACCAUGCCCAGCUAAUCGUAAAAGACUUUUCAUAAAACUUCAGAACUCCUUAAAAACUAGUGAAUAGCCAAGGUGAAGAAAGCCCUCAGGCUUCUGACUUUAGACCCCAAUCCCUGGGACUCCCACACUCAGCAAAGAAAGCUGGGUGCCUGCACCCUGGAUCUCUGAGCAAACCUGUCUUAUGGCUGUGGGCAACUCAGGAACAUGAAUUAGCACGAGAAUCUGGAGUUUUUCUUUCCUUUUCUGAGAGUUUCAUACGCAGACCUUAAGUAGACAUAGUAUCCAGCUAAAAGGGUCUCACUCUGUCACCCAGGCUGGAGUGCAGUGGCGCAGUCAUGGCUCCCUGUAACCUCAACCUCUCAGACUCCAGCAAUCCUCCUGCGACAGCGAAGUUAAUCUUCUGGUUCGGUUCACAAAGUGCAGGAGAGCCUACCAGCUUGAGAGAAAAGGAGUCAUGCUGUAUUUGUUUCCUUGAGUGAAUGGCCACUCAGCUGCUGUGUUUCUCCCUGCAUGUGGCUGAAGUUUACAUUGGAGGGUGACUUCCUGAUUGCCAGUUAGCAUAUGUGUCCGGCUACCAGCCGCCUGACUGGCUGAGGAUGCUCUUUGUUUGUUCAAGGAUGAACGUUCUCCCCCUGCCUUGCAGGAAGAGGGGAGCAAGGUGCGCCCGGGAGACGCGUGACAGUGCCCUGUAAAGCCAGUAGAGGAAAUCUUGUGGAGUGUGAAUGCACAGGCUUAGAUUCCCCUGUCCCUGAGUCGGGGGCAUGUGCUCGUGGAGAAUGACCCUAUCAAGUUCAAGGUGUGGCAUCUCCUGAUCCAGCAACAGGAUUUGUUCCAGAGAAAAAUCCCCAGGUCUUGGGACUGUUGACAGAUGGCCAUGACUAUGCUUAAUGUGGUCAUCAACUGAGAAUGGUCCGUCUCAUCUUUGAGUAUGCAAUUACCUUUAUAGCUGAUUAUGACACCCUCAGAUCAUAUCAUGAGGUGGACAAGAUGAGUCCAUGGCCCAUGCUGAGAACUGGUACUUCUGUCUUCAUAGACUCACUCACCAACCAGAGAUGUACGACGGACCCCAAAUGGUCUGUCAAAAAUGUGAACUUGCACUAAGACAAGACCCAACAUCAGUGACAUUGGACACAAGAUAGAAAUCAGAGAACAGUUACUGUCCAGCAGUUUUAACCACCAAUACCCAUUUAUUUUAAUGGAAAAAAAAA